UGCCAAACUGUUAGUGAGCUAAAGUUCGGGG
rnacentral:piRNA from 1 species